rnacentral:lncRNA from 10 species
AAGGAAUCCUGAUUCCCAGGCGGCAGGUCUGGGGCUGAGCACAUGCUGUUUGGGGGAUCACCUGGACGCCUGGGGAGACAGAAAUGGUUAAAAAAUGGCAAACCUGAUGGUUUUUCUGACCCUUUUCUAUUCCCCCUAGAGACGGAAGCAGUGAAAGGGAGGCAAAGAAAAGCUAUCAACCCAAGUAAAUCGUUCCUAACGUAGCCAGAGGGGUCCUCAGCAUCUCCGCACAUCUGCUCCCCCAGCCCCGGGUCUACUGGCUGGACUAAUAGACUAAACGGGAGGUCUGUAGGCUGUGACUCGAUAGGCACAGUGGCAAGCCCCUUCCCGGGGAACAGUUCUUGCUGGUAUUCGGAGCCCAUGCGAAAUAGUGCCCUUGUUUUACAGUUCUUUUCUUUGCAAGUGCUCUUUGAGCCUGAUGGCACUGAUAACCUGACCACGAAUGAAUGUGCUCAGUUUCCAUUGCCUAGAAGGGUCAAAGUCUAAGGGUAGCAGAAAAGAGGAAGGUAGUAUAGGGUCAGGGGAAAGGAAGGCAGAACCCUAAGACCAGCUGUGACAAGUUCUGUCUAGAGGUGGGCCUGCACCCCAACACCUUUCCUUCCUAGGACAUCAUUACACUUUCUGAAUAGUGUUCUUUUUUUUUUUUUUUUUUUUUUGAGAUGGGGUUUCUUUCUUGUUGCCCAGGCUGGAGUGCAAUGUGCACAAUCUCGGCUCACUGCAACCUCCGCCUCCUGGGUUCAAGCGAUUCUCCUGCCUCAGCCUCCCAAGUAGCUGGGACUACAGGCACCCACCACAACGCCCGGCUAAGUGGCUAAUUUUUGUAUUUUUAGUAGAGACGGGUUUUCACCAUGUUGGCCAGGCUGGUCUCAAACUUCUGACCUCAGGUGAUCCACCAGCCUCGGCAUCCCAAAGCACUGGGAUUAUAGGCAUGAGCUACCGCGCCCGGCCCUGAAUAGGGUUCUUUAUCCCAUUCCAGUGUAAGGUGGCCCCACUUCUUCCCAGCCUUCUCCAUGUCUAUUAGUAUUAGGUAUCUUAGAAGUCAAGGACAGCAUUGGUAACAAGAGUCCCCCAAGAUGGAGACAUCUCCAUCAUGUGUAGGGCAGGUUGGGGUGUGUGUAUGUGGAUGAAAACAAGGUUGAAGCCGGCUGUUAUAGACUUAUAAAUAUCCAUAUUGGAACUCACCAACUGUGCAUGUUGGGGGAAAAGAAGCAGAGAGAUGGUUGCAGAAGGAGAAAGGAGAGUCAUCAAUAAUACCCAAAUGAGCUGGUUAAUGUUUCCAGUUUCCAUCCAGAACUUGACAUUUGAGCAGAGCCACAGACAGAAGCUCCUUACUGGCUUUGUUUCAGUGCCUCUCAGUUGGAAGCAUAAUAGAAGAUUAGAAAAACCAAUUGCCUGGAUAGAGGCUCAAAUCAUUUUUUAAAAAAUAAAUGGAUUCCUGUUAAUGGGCCUGAUUUUCAACUGUGUUUAGGUAAAGAACAUUGCCAUCGUUCAGAAUUAGACAUGAGCUUCAGUGUCCCUGAAGAGCCACUUUAAAGAAGAAUGUCUUUAAGAUUUGAAAGAAUUCAACCCAUGCUACUUCUGAACGAUUUACUGUUAGGUGCUGUGCAGAUAUGUGUUAGAAAGAAAUAGGAGGCUUGUGAAGGAUCCAAGAGUGAGUAUGACUUCAAAAGCAGUGCAGGUUAAUUUGGGGCCUUUGGAGAUGAGUCAUCCUGCUAAAAUAAACACAUCAGCUUUCUCUUCACAACUUAAUACACGUGUCCAUAUUUGGUAACAGGCCCGUGGUGAACAUGUUGGCCUACCUGCAAAGGGGCCGUCUCCAUGCUAAAGUGUGGGCACCAAACAUUAGCAUAUGUACUAAUAGAUCAUCAAGGAAGGUUAUUAGUGACACGGCUACCUCUGACACAUGGGACGCAACUUAAAAUAGCACAUGCAGACAUUUUUCUCUUAUGCUCGGACUCAGGGAAAAGCCCCACUUGGGUAAUGUUUUGGGGUGAUUUUGAUGAUCUGACUGGUUCUUUGUGUUAGGACAAUGAUACAGUUUAGAAGUUUGUCCUCUUCCAAUUUCAUGUUGAGAUGUGAUCCCUAAUGUUGGAGGUGGGCCUAGUGGGUGGUGUUUGGGUCAUGGGGGUGGAUCCUUCAGGAAUGCCUUUGUGCCCACCCUAUGGUAAUGAGUUCGUGGGAGAUCUGGUUGUUAAAGAGGCUGGGACCUCCCCUUUUCCCCCUCUUGCCCCCUCUUGCCAUGUGGCACGCCAGCUCCCCUUGCCUUCUGCCAUGAGUAAAAGCUCCCCGAGGGCCUCACCAGAAGCAGAUGCGGGUGCCAUGCUUCUUGUAUAGACUGCAGAACGUGAGCCAAAUAAACUUUGUUUAUGAAGUACCCAGCCUCAGGUAUUCCUUCGUAGCAAUGCAAAAUGGAUGAAUAUGGCAAGUUUCUUAGCUAUUUAAGGAGACGUAUGGGACUCUGCAGAUGAUCAUAUUCCCAUAUACAAAUUAAGGCACAUAGCCUUGAUGGUUGGGAGUUUCCUAAAUUUUCAGAAAAUUCUACUGUGCUAGGUUGCCAAUGCCACUCAAAGUGAUGUAUUGGUUGAUAUCCUAAGGAAAGUUGGGUUUUGAAUGAACAGGCAAUCAGUUAGGGUAUUUGAUGUAUAUUAUGAGACAUGUGGACUUGUAUAAGGUGCCUGUGGGUAUAGGAACAGAGCAGAAGAAAGAGAGAACAAGGAAGAAAGAGAGGAAUAAAAGCAAGCAAACAAAACCAAAACAAAAAUGGCACGCUGGAAAGAAGCCAAAUGGAGGAAAGAAGAUGAACCCCUUUAGUCCAUAUUCUAGUAGCUACUAGGUCCAUUGGACCAAAUUCUCCACGUCUUGCUCAGUAAUGAUA